rnacentral:misc_RNA from 1 species
AAAAAAAAAAAAAAAAAAAAAAUUGGGUUGCAUUUUGUUUCAUUUCAUUGACUUGUAGAAACAUCAAUGUCACAAACACUAAAGAGUACAGUUUCAUACCUCAAAUUACAACAUAAUCAACUAUCUAAUCUUGUUCCAAGGAUCCUACAUUUCCUCGUCCAAGCAAGAAUAGUGAAAUUAUAUAAAGAAAAUCACCUUAUUCUUGCACUUCAGUGAUAUGAA